rnacentral:tmRNA from 1 species
GGGGAUGACAGGCUUCGACAGGGAGGGCUGGUCAGCGACUGCAGGCCGAGGUCCCUCACCCUCGUUAAUCAGGGGCAAACGAUAAGUGCCAACAACACUUAUGCUCCGGCUUACGCAAUGGCCGCCUAAGCGACCUAACGUAGCCACCUGAUCGGCAGAGCCGAUCACGUCUGCCUCCUUGCUUAUCCCGGGAGCGGGAGAGCAGGCGUCGACUAAAUCGGGAUGCGGUCGGCGCGGCGUCGAUGCCGCCGGCCAAAGAUGCAUCGACUGGCCAGGGUGCGACCCCGUCAGGUGGGGCCAGCCUGGCAAGACUCAAAGACCUGACUAAGCCUGUAGCAUGUUUCUGGUCGAACUUCUUGGACGCGGGUUCGAUUCCCGCCAUCUCCACCU